rnacentral:rRNA from 1 species
AGUCACUGACAUUAGAUACCCGUGUAGUCCAGGGUGUAAACGCUGCAGACUUGGUGUUGGAAGCCCUUUGGGGGCAUUCAGUGCCGGAGAGAAGUUGUUAAGUCUGCUACUUGGGAGUACGUCCGCAAGGAUGAAACUUAAAGGAAUUGGCGGGGAGCACCGCAACGGGAGGAGCGUGCGGUUUAAUUGGAUUCAACACCGUAAACUCACCAGGGAAGACUGUUACAUGAAGGCCGAGAUGAAGACUCUGCUAGAUUUUCAG